AAACUCAUACCGGUUUGGAACAACUUGAGGAUGGUCUUUGGAGAUUGCAUUAAAGUUGCAUUAAAACCCUGACGUCCUCCUUCGUUGCCAUACAAAGUGGGUUGGAACAAAUUUCAUUCUGUAUUUGGAGGAGGAGGAGGAGCAACAAAGGCGAUACCCUCAUGUCCUGCAGUUUUGGGAUAAAAUCCAUCCUUCAUUAUUGUGGGAGAAAUGGCACUGAAGCAAGACCGUCUUUUUACAAGCAGUUGAUACAUGGUUUAGAUUAUUUUACAUUUUGAACAUUGCAUAUCCCAAGCCUGUUUCAG